rnacentral:rRNA from 1 species
AGUGAACGCUGGCGGUAGGCCUAACACAUGCAAGUCGAACGGCAGCACAGUAAGAGCUUGCUCUUACGGGUGGCGAGUGGCGGACGGGUGAGGAAUACAUCGGAAUCUACUUUUUCGUGGGGGAUAACGUAGGGAAACUUACGCUAAUACCGCAUACGACCUACGGGUGAAAGCAGGGGAUCUUCGGACCUUGCGCGAUUGAAUGAGCCGAUGUCGGAUUAGCUAGUUGGCGGGGUAAAGGCCCACCAAGGCGACGAUCCGUAGCUGGUCUGAGAGGAUGAUCAGCCACACUGGAACUGAGACACGGUCCAGACUCCUACGGGAGGCAGCAGUGGGGAAUAUUGGACAAAGGGCGCAAGCCUGAUCCAGCCAUACCGCGUGGGUGAAGAAGGCCUUCAGGUUGUAAAGCCCCUUUGUUGGGAAAGAAAAGCAGCAGGUUAACACCCCGCUGUUCUGACGGUACCCAAAGAAUAAGCACCGGCUAACUUCGUG